GGGAGUGUCAGCGUUCCUGGUGGGCGCCGCGGCCUUCAAAGCCGUUGAGAGGUUGUACAAGCAGUCUCUGGUGGGUUCGAUUCCCAUCCACUCCCG
rnacentral:tRNA from 1 species